UCUCUCUCUCUCUCUCACUCUAAACUCUCUUGGCGUGCCCAGUUCAUCAUAUCGUCCACCUUUGAGAUCACAAACUCCAACCCUAACAUAUAAUGAAUAGAGAUGAUGUUCUUACCAGAGAAACAGAUUGAGAUGGAUCUGUGAGGAGAUAAAAUAGAGUUUGAUCAGAGUUUGAACUUCAAAUUUGAUUGCAAAGCUCAAGACGAGAACUAAGCUGAAACUUUCCAUAUUAGUCUCACUCUCUCAUAUGUGAAUUUGAUCGAACCAGGUCAAGCUUCGGAGAACAACAAAUCGUUCCGAAGCACAGAGCAAGGGCUUUGCUCUCAACUUCUAAAGGAUCAGUUUUAAAGGAUUUCCAUGAAAGAAGAGUUCUCAAGGUAUUGUGAUUAUCCAACUAACUCCCACUGACCCUCUUGCUAUUAUCCAGUUAUGUUUUUAAUUUUCUUUCAAUGGACUGUUUGGCUUCUGAGAAAAUCAGAAUUUCUCCGGGAAGAGAAUUUCUCUAGGA